GAGUUUGAUCCUGGCUCAGGAUGAACGCUGGCGGCGUGCCUAACACAUGCAAGUCGAACGGGAAUCUUCGGAUUCUAGUGGCGGACGGGUGAGUAACGCGUAAGAAUCUAACUUCAGGACGGGGACAACAGUUGGAAACGACUGCUAAUACCCGAUAUGCCGCGAGGUGAAACCUAAUUGGCCUGGAGAAGAGCUUGCGUCUGAUUAGCUAGUUGGUGGGGUAAGAGCCUACCAAGGCGACGAUCGGUAGCUGGUCUGAGAGGAUGAGCAGCCACACUGGGACUGAGACACGGCCCAGACUCCUACGGGAGGCAGCAGUGGGGAAUUUUUCCGCAAUGGGCGAAAGCCUGACGGAGCAACGCCGCGUGAGGGAGGAAGGUCUUUGGAUUGUAAACCUCUUUUCUCAAGGAAGAAGUUCUGACGGUACUUGAGGAAUCAGCCUCGGCUAACUCCGUGCCAGCAGCCGCGGUAAU
rnacentral:rRNA from 1 species